GGCUGGGUUUAUGAGGAAAGUAAGGAGAUGGGACUUAGGAGAUGAGGCUGGGGGAGGGGGGGGGGGUUAGAUUGUGUGGGUGGUUACUGGGCGAGGUGUUUGGUGAGUUUGGUGUGGUGAGAGUGCCUGUCACAUCCCAAAUCAAGAGGUCAUGAAAUUGGUGUUGUGGAGUUGAUGGGGGGUGCUCUCUCCUUCACCACGCCCGCCAUCACCACCACCAACACCACCACCACGCAAUUCUUCUUCGUCUUCUUUCACUUCCUUUUCACAGCUUUUGUCUUUCACUUAAAAUUUUUCUAAUACAGUUUCGUUUCUUUCUCCUGUUCUUUUAUUUAUUCACAAUCAUUCACACCAUCAAUUACUUCUUACUCGUUUUCUGCCACUUCCUUUACACAAUUUUUCUUUCACUCAAAAAAUUUCCUCAUAUAAUUUUCUUCCUUUCUCCUGUCCUCUUAUUCACAAAGUCACCAUCAUCACCACCAUCAUUAUUUUUUCAACUUCAGUGUUCUCAGAUAACCAAGGAAGUGGCGAAGUGGCUGAGGUGUCGCCUUGUGAUUUGAUGGCCCAAGGUUCGAAAUGUGAGACUAGUUGGGUGUUUGGGCGCUACUUAGGCGUUGGAUCUUACUUAUCUGUUUGGCAAGUCGGUGUUUAUCAUUGUUAUCAUUAUUUUUUAGCUGCUCUGAAUAGAAAUGGAAAUGUUUUGAUCUUGUUUUCUUUCCUUUAAUUUGCGCUCUUUUGUAUUUCAUUUGUUAUCUUGAUCUGUUUUUUUUGUUAUUUUUCUCUUUCACU